AUUCGGAAGGGAUAACGUCGUGCAAAAUUAACGUCGUGCUUGUUUUAAGAAGAAACGUAUUUUUUCCAAUCAGAGAGCAACUACGGCCCAACGCUCGACGAAUCAGUACGUUCGGCUUCAGUCUGCUGUUGGACCUCGUGGGGAUAGGACGGAUGGAGAUACAACUGGUUAAAAUUUUUGAUUGCUGAGGUAAUUUUCAAGAUAUUGAUAUCGCAAUGGUGACAGAUGGUGACUUCAUGGCAAAGCGGUAACGUUUAAUCUUUUGUAUCGAAAAUAAAUACAUUUUUAAGUAUUUAUUUUUUAUUCUAUUAUUAUUUUAUUAUGUUAAAUAAUUCAUAAUUCUACAUAAUUUUAUUUCGGAUUUGUUAAGUUAUUUUUUUAAUUUCAAAUUGAUUGAAUUUAUUUUUCUCUUGCAUUUAAUUUGUAGUUUCAAGAGAUAAUAAUUUUUAUGAACAAAUGCUCGAUACCCUACCCUUCCCCACUAAUACAGAUUUAUUUUCAGAAAAAUUUUGUGAUCGCGCGCAAUGCGAUCGGUAGAGUCAGUGUUGUUUCGUAAUACAGUAUUUUUAAGAUUAUUUUUUAGAGCACAGCUGCUCUUAUUCAAUUUAAUUAUAAUAAUCAUUCGCGAAAUUAGAGUCAGUGUUUAUUCGCCGAAUAUUAAAUACGGACGCGUUAAUAGUUUAUUUUGUUUCAUUUUUUUUCUUACAAAUUUUCGUUUUCGGUACAGAGUAAAAUCAGUGCUCUCAAGAACAUAAGGCGAUCAUCCAUCACGCGAAGAGGUACUGUCAUCAUGUCGUCCUCUGGACUUUUGAAAAAAGUUUUGUGAUCGCGCGCAAUGCGAUCGGUAGAGUCAGUGUUGUUUCGUAAUACAGUAUUUUUAAUAUUUUUUAGAGCACAGCUGCUCUUAUUCAAUUUAAUUAUAAUAAUCAUUCGCGAAAUUAGAGUCAGUGUUUGUUCGCCGAAUAUUAAAUACGGACGCGUUAAUAGUUUAUUUUGUUUCAUUUUUUUUUUCUUACAAAUUUUCGUUUUCGGUACAGGGUAAAAUCAGUGCUCUCAAGAACAUAAGGCGAUCAUCCAUCACGCGAAGAGUUUUCACAGUUUUCAUCCUUCUACUUGAUGACAACUUCGCGAUGGGUCAUGACAGCAUUGGUGGCAACGCAGAUUCUUCGCAUCUAUGGUGAGUCGCAUGCAUUUUGGUUCCUCUGGUCACUCAAUCAUGUCGUAGGAUGAAAGAUCCGAAUCGACACGGGUGAUUGGUUGUAUACGUAGAAUUUUGUACGAGCACAAUGACCAUGGGUAUUUAUUAUAUCCGUGAAUAGUGACAUUUCAUAUGUUUGUGUUUUAUUUAUUAGAU